GCGGCGGACGGGUGAGUAACACGUGGAUAACCUACCUAUAAGACUGGGAUAACUUCGGGAAACCGGAGCUAAUACCGGAUAAUAUUUUGAACCGCAUGGUUCAAAAGUGAAAGACGGUCUUGCUGUCACUUAUAGAUGGAUCCGCGCUGCAUUAGCUAGUUGGUAAGGUAACGGCUUACCAAGGCAACGAUGCAUAGCCGACCUGAGAGGGUGAUCGGCC
rnacentral:rRNA from 1 species